GGGCAGGACAUGUAAAGUAGGCCCACCGCUACGGUGUUCCAACUUUACCACUCCCUAUUCGCCGCAUCGCGGCUCAAGGGCGUCCUGCUCUGCGAGGCU
rfam:Buttiauxella agrestis ATCC 33320 GBAG.assembly.050, whole genome shotgun sequence.